UACGUAGGUGGCAAGCGUUACUCGGAAUCACUAGGCGUAAAGCGCAGGUAGGCGGUUUGAUAAGUCUGUUGUGAAAGCUCCCGGCUUAACUGGGAGAGGUCAACGGAAACUGUCAGGCUAGAGUGUGGUAGAGGUAGCUGGAAUUCCCGGUGUAGCGGUGAAAUGCGUAGAUAUGACAUAGAACACCAAUUGCGAAGGCAGCUCACUACGCGAAUAUUGACACUGAGGCACGAAAGCGUGGGGAUCAAACAGG
rnacentral:rRNA from 1 species